ACACGACUACAUUAGAUACCCCCGUAGUCCUAGCCGUAAACGAUACUCGCUAGGUGUCGGCCACGGUGCGACCGUUGUCGGUGCCGUAGGGAAGCCGUGAAGCGAGCCACCUGGGAAGUACGGCCGCAAGGCUGAAACUUAAAGGAAUUGGCGGGGAGCACCACAACGGGUGGAGCUUGCGGUUUAAUUGGAUUCAACGCCGGAAAUCUUACCGGGACCGACAGCAACAUGAAGGCCAGGCUGAAGACUUUGCCGGAUUAGCUG
rnacentral:rRNA from 1 species